rnacentral:rRNA from 1 species
AUUGAACGCUGGCGGCGUGCCUAACACAUGCAAGUCGAGCGGUAACAGGUGUAGCAAUACAUGCUGACGAGCGGCGGACGGGUGAGUAACGCUUGGGAAUCUGCCUAUUAGUGGGGGACAACCCGGGGAAACUCGGGCUAAUACCGCAUACGCUCUACGGAGGAAAGCCGGGGACCGCAAGGCCUGGCGCUAAUAGAUGAGCCCAAGUCGGAUUAGCUAGUUGGUAGGGUAAUGGCCUACCAAGGCGACGAUCCGUAACUGGUCUGAGAGGACGACCAGUCACACCGGAACUGAGACACGGUCCGGACUCCUACGGGAGGCAGCAGUGGGGAAUAUUGGACAAUGGGCGAAAGCCUGAUCCAGCGACGCCGCGUGGGUGAAGAAGGCCUGCGGGUUGUAAAGCCCUUUCAAGUGGGGAAGAAAAGCCUCGACCUAACACGUCGGGGUCUUGACGUAACCCAUAGAAGAAGCACCGGCUAACUCUGUGCCAGCAGCCGCCGUAAU